ACAUGUUUGGUGCAAGUGUCGGCUGUUUGUAAAUAUUGACAUUGCGUGAGAAGUGAAAAGUCAUAAUGAGCGAGUCAGAAGGGAAGAAAGAAGAGGCAGAAACAAAGAAAAUUAUCCAUACGUAUCCAUUAGUAAGGCACUGCGAUAUGAUUGACGAGAUGAGAGGAGAAGCAAUGGAACUUUGUGUAACAGCAUGUGAGAAGCAUGCUGCGAACAACGAAUGAUGAAUCUUUUCUUUCCACUCGAGCUUUGAGUCACAGCUUAUUGUCUUCUCGACAACAAUCCAUCUACAAUACCAGCAUAGCAAGACUAUGUUGGCUAACGUUACGACGCCAGACCCAUCACUCAUCCAGAAUGUUGUACCUGCAAUUACUGGAAAGGCUUAUGCCAUUCUUCAGGAACACCAUGUUUACCUGGCCUCUCCACAGAUAUUCCUCUGAAGGGUUAGCACCUAUGGUACAGUAUUGCUGAGUAAUGGAGUACGUACAUAACAAGGCAAUAGAGUCAUGCAAAUACAGACUUCAACAGGUUAAUAUCUAUCUUUCGUAUUAUUGUGUGGAAACAACUGAGACAUCACAUUGCAGAGCUAAUAAAAUUUGUAAUAUUUCACAUUUCAUGAGAUUAAAUAUCUUGUUUCUUUUGUCUAUAACUAAGUUCUGAAGAUCUUUCUCUAAUUGCCAAUAAUAUUGAUAGCUUUAUUUUUGUUUGACCUCUUUUACUUUAUUUUUGUGUUACAUUUUAAUCAUUAUGCUGGACCUCUGCCCUGGUGGCAUAGCCUUUGUAUGAUAAAGCAAACUUCAUAUUGUGAUUUGUUUUGGACCUAGGGGAGAGAGAGAGAGAGAGAGAGAGAGAGAGAGAGAGAGAGAGAGAGAGUGAGAGAGAGAUAGAGAGGGGGGGGGGGGGGGUAAUUGGGAUCAAGAUAUUUGAUAUUUAAUUUCUGGUGAAAAGAUAGUGAUAUUGUAAAAUAAAAUGCAUAAAACUUUCAAAAUACCUUAUGUUUAUUCUUCGUAUAUAAUAUGGAUAAUUGUGUUUAAAUUGUAAAUCUGUCCUUAAAGUCAUUGAUGUGUACAGAUUCGUAUAAAAUGUUAUUUUCAGAGACUUUAAAGUUUACAGCUAUUUUCAUGUUUGCUAGUCAGAAGAAUAUUAGAAAUUAUGUAUGAAGAAGACAGCAAAAGACAAUAAUAUUAUUUUUGAGAUUGCUAUGCAGUG